GGGAAGAUUGACAAGUUGUUGGUGAUGGAAAGGGGAAACAAUGUUCUUUGAACUUGGAGCAAAGAAGAUACCUGGUAGUGCCUCAUUCUUCUGCUCCACCAAGCUGGGGCUGCUUCAAGCAUUUCUCAAUGUGGUUAGCUCCACUCUCAAGCAAAGUGCAGAACCCCAUGCCAUAAAUGUGGUCUCAUCCACAUCCAGGAUGUGUCUUCUCUCCUCAAUUAACCCUUUCUGGAAACUCCUUUGAAGAGGCAUCCAAAGGUGUCCAUGAGCCAUUCUACUUAUUGACCAUUCUGACAUAUUUCAUGUGGAGCUGCUGAGUUCCAGAGCUGGUCACCUGAAGGCUGUGCACAAGGGAACAGAUCUCUGAACCAUCUGUGGUGACUCAUAGCAGAGACUUUGCAAAGGGCAGUUAUGACCCUGGGCUAGAGAUUAGAUGACAGGACACCUAGAGUCUUCCUGGUUUAAUUUGUAAAGCUUUCCUCAGCAUGCAUGGAAGGAAAUGUUCAGGGGGGAAAUGAUAGAAAGAAAAUGCAUGAAAUUGAGUGCCGGGUUAUCAACUGUUCCAGAGAUAGCUGCCAUCACCUCUGAGUUGCCUCCAGCCCUCUGAAAUUAUUUUUAGCUGUGGGUGCGAGGGAUUCUUUCUUCCUCCCUUGCACAUCAAAUGCUGUGCUGGAGAGCAAUCAAGCAUGUGGUCAGAGCCAAGAAUUGCAUCGGCAGUGUUUCUGAUUAAGACCUGGGACAAAAUGCAGCCUCUUCUGAAGCAGGAAGCUGCAGGCCACUGGGAGGAGCCAUCUGUGACUGGAAGACUGGAGGACAUGACAGCUGAGGCUUGUUGUAGGGAUGUCUACUCCUAUUGAAAGAAGUGUGUGUAUGUGUGUGUGUGUG